GAUUCGACCGAAUGUAUUGUUUUGUAGGAGGAGCUUGAUAUUUACAUGGUUAAAAAUACCGUACCAAUGGGAUCGUUAGCGAUUACCUCUGGUUUUGUUGAUGACUAUAUGAGUGUGAGACUUACUAGGACAAGUGUUUCUAACUGGAUGGGGUAUAAUUAAUGUUUCACCAAGCCCAGACCAAAGCUAAAGUGCUCAGAAGUCGUAAUCGGCAGAGAUAUGACUCAGGCUGAGCUUAAUGACCAGAAACUUCUCCAGGAACGCUGAGUUUUGGCCCGCAUUUAUACCUCAAAGCUGUUGGGAAUGGGGUGGAUAUGAGCAUUUAUUGCACUACAUAAUGAAUUGGAUGCCCUGGACAAACCAUUGAUUCCUUAUUCAACAUCAUG